CAGCCACUGGGGGUGACAGGUACCAGUAAUGUCACAUAGCAACAUCCGGCUUCCUCUCCCUAGCAACUAGCCUCCUUGGAGUUUCUUCAGCCCAGGAACACACC